rnacentral:rRNA from 1 species
GACGAACGCUGGCGGCGUGCCUAAUACAUGCAAGUCGAACGCAGUGGGGACGGGUGAGUAACACGUGGGUAACCUCCCCAUCAGAGGGGAUAACCCUUGGAAACAGGUGCUAAACCGAUACUGAUGGAUGACCCCGCGGUGCAUUAGCUAGUUGGUGAGGUAACGGCUCACCAAGGCCACGAUGCAUAGUCGACCUUAGAGGGGUAUCGGCCACACUGGGCAUGAGAAACGGCCCAGAAUCCUACGGGAGGCAGCAGGAGGGAAUCUUCGGCAAUGGACGAAAGUCUGACCGAGCAACGCCGCUGGAGUGAAAAAGGUUUUCGGAUCGUAAAACUCUGUUGUUAGAGAAGCGGUAUCUAACCAGAAAGCCACGGCUAACUACGUGCCAGCAGCCGCGGUAAUUC